rnacentral:misc_RNA from 1 species
CCGAGUUUACAACUCCCAAAACCCUUAUGUGAACAUACCUAUCGUUGCUUCGGCGGGGACGCCCCGGCGCCUGCGAGCCCGGAUACAGGCGCCCGCCGGAGACCCCAAACUCUUGUAUUCAUGCAACUGUAUUCUCUGAGUGGCAAACGCAACAAAUGAAUCA